AUUGAACGCUGGCGGCAGGCCUAACACAUGCAAGUCGAGCGGGGUUUUCGGACCUAGCGGCGGACGGGUGAGUAAUGCGUAGGAAGCUACCCGAUAAAGGGGGAUACCAGUUGGAAACGACUGUUAAUACCGCAUAAUGUCUACGGACCAAAGUGUGGGACCUUCGGGCCACAUGCUAUCGGAUGCGCCUACGUGGGAUUAGCUAGUUGGUGAGGUAAUGGCUCACCAAGGCGACGAUCCCUAGCUGGUUUGAGAGGAUGAUCAGACACACUGGAACUGAGACACGGUCCAGACUCCUACGGGAGGCAGCAGUGGGGAAUAUUGGACAAUGGGCGCAAGCCUGAUCCAGCCAUGCCGCGUGUGUGAAGAAGGCCUUCGGGUUGUAAAGCACUUUCAGUAGGGAGGAAGCGUUGUGUGUUAAUAGUACACAGCGUUGACGUUACCUACAGAAGAAGCACCGGCUAACUCUGUGCCAGCCGCCGCGGUAAAAC
rnacentral:rRNA from 1 species